AGUUUGAACGUUUUUGAUCAUGUGUAAUGGCAUGAAUGCGUUAAGCUGUUGUUUUAGUGUUCUUUUGAUGAGUUUAGCUUGUUGUUAUUAAAAGUGUUUGUUUUGUCGAGUUUGAACGUUUUUGAGCAUGUGUAAUGGCAUGAAUGCGUUAAGCUGUUGUUUUAGUGUUCUUUUGAUGAGUUUGGCUUGUUGUUAUGAAAAGUGUUUGUUUUGGCGAGUUUGAACGUUUUUGAGCAUGUGUAAUGGCAUGAAUGCGUUAAGCUGUUGUUUUAGUGUUCUUUUGAUGAGUUUGGCUUGUUGUUAUGAACAGUGUUUGUUUUGGCGAGUUUGAACGUUUUUGAGCAUGUGUAAUGGCAUGAAUGCGUUAAGCUGUUGUUUUAGUGUUCUUUUGAUGAGUUUGGCUUGUUGUUAUGAAAAGUGUUUGUUUUGGCGAGUUUGAACGUUUUUGAGCAUGUGUAAUGGCAUGAAUGCGUCAAGCUGUUGUUUUAGUGUUCUUUUGAUGAGUUUGGCUUGUUGUUAUGAAAAGUGUUUGUUUUGGCGAGUUUGAAGGUAUUUUAGCAUGUGUAAUGGCAUAAAUGUGUUGAAUUAGUAAUCCCUUGUGUUAAGCCGUUGUUUUAGUGUUCUUUUGAUGAGUUUGGCUUGUUGUUAUGAAAAGUGUUUGUUUUGGCGAGUUUGAACGUUUUUGAGCAUGUGUAAUGGCAUGAAUACGUUAAGCUGUUGUUUUAGUGUUCUUUUGAUGAGUUUGGCUUGUUGUCAUGAAAAGUGUUUGUUUUGGCGAGUUUGAACGUUUUUGAGCAUGUGUCAUGGCGAUGAAUGCGUUAAGCUGUUGUUUUAGUGUUCUUUUGAUGAGUUUGGCUUGUUGUUAUGAAAAGUGUUUGUUUUGGCGAGUUUGAAGGUUUUUGAGCAUGGGUAAUGUUACGAAUGAAUGUUUUGAAUUAGUAAUCCCUUGUGUUAAGCCGUUGUUUUAGUGUUCUUUUGAUGAGUUUGGCUUGUUGUUAUGAAAAGUGUUUGUUUUGUCGAGUUUGAACGUUUUUGAGCAUGUGUAAUGGCAUGAAUGUUUUGAAUUAGUAAUCCCUUGUGUUAAGCUGUUGUUUUAGUGUUCUUUUGAUGAGUUUGGCUUGUUGUUAUGAAAAGUGUUUGUUUUGGCGAGUUUGA